UUGACGCUCAGUUUCUUUCAACAGCAUUUACAUUUUCUUUCUUUUAGAGUCAUUUGAGUGAGCUGAAAUAUUUCUAGCUUUAAGAUCAUUCACUCUAUUGAUAGAAGUGUUUAAUAAUGUAGGAGAGAAAAACAUAUAGAUGAUUAUUGAAAUAUAUAUAUUUAUAGAACUCAAUUUCUUAAUCAUAGUUUUUCAGCAAUGUAUACAUGAAACACAAUAAAUCUUUUUAAUAUCAAAAUAAAAUCAUAUAUUUAGAAAUUUUUGUUUGCAAUCAAGAUCAUCAAA
rnacentral:lncRNA from 1 species